rnacentral:misc_RNA from 1 species
UUUCCGUAGGUGAACCUGCGGAAGGAUCAUUACAGAAAUUGGCUCAGGCCAUUUCCAACCCUUGUAUAAUCUCCUGUUGCUUCGGCGCUCCGGCGCCGACGCCUAUACAAACUCUGAAAUUGUUGUGUCUGAAAAACAUAUAAUAUAUCAAAACUUUCAACAACGGAUCUCUUGGUUCCCGCAUCGAUGAAGAACGCAGC